CUCUAAGUAUCCACCAUGCCUCUAAGUGCCGGAUGUGGCAUAGGAAAAGCCUGAUGUGUUGCCAGUGGAAUCUGUGCUAGAGAUAUGGCUAGGUAGAUCUAUUGGCAUCACUAACCUCGGAAUGUACCUGACCUCUCAGCAAGCAAACAACCCCAGGCCAAAUAAACUCACCCAUUAUGCGGCACAUUCUGUGAUCAUGAAGGCAUAUCCCCCACCCACAUAUAUGUCCUGAGGCCUUUAG